UGGCGACGGGUGGAGUAACGCGUGAGGAACCUGCCUCAAAGAGGGGGACAACAGUUGGAAACGACUGCUAAUACCGCAUAAGCCCACGGCUCGGCAUCGAGCAGAGGGAAAAGGAGCAAUCCGCUUUGGGAUGGCCUCGCGUCCGAUUAGCUAGUUGGUGAGGUAACGGCCCACCAAGGCGACGAUCGGUAGCCGGACUGGGAGGUUGAACGGCCACAUUGGGACUGAGACACGGCCCAG
rnacentral:rRNA from 1 species